rnacentral:ncRNA from 1 species
UUUACUUAGGUCUGUGGUUGAAAGUCGAUGCUAGUCGCAGGCAAAACGAUCCACGUAAGGUACUCAAAAUGAUUACUGAGCAUGGUGCGGUUUAGGAAUAAGUCCUGCCUAAUUGGUAGCAUAUUGGCAUGACACAAGUCGGUACAUAAUAUUCUGGCUUUAAUUAAUUGUCAGUAAGAGAUCGAUUGGAGAGGAGUAGUAGUAGGAAGGAAACCCCUUGAGCGAACCUCCCAGCAGGCGAGUGUGGGGGCAAAAACCAGGUCAGCUAGGUAAG